rnacentral:rRNA from 1 species
AGGGACGACGGCCUUCGGGUUGUAAACCUCUUUUAGCAGGGAAGAAGCGAAAGUGACGGUACCUGCAGAAAAAGCGCCGGCUAACUACGUGCCAGCAGCCGCGGUAAUACGUAGGGCGCAAGCGUUAUCCGGAAUUAUUGGGCGUAAAGAGCUCGUAGGCGGUUUGUCGCGUCUGCUGUGAAAUCCGGAGGCUCAACCUCCGGCCUGCAGUGGGUACGGGCAGACUAGAGUGCGGUAGGGGAGAUUGGAAUUCCUGGUGUAGCGGUGGAAUGCGCAGAUAUCAGGAGGAACACCGAUGGCGAAGGCAGAUCUCUGGGCCGUAACUGACGCUGAGGAGCGAAAGGGUGGGGAGCAAACAGGCUUAGAUACCCUGGUAGUCCACCCCGUAAACGUUGGGAACUAGUUGUGGGGUCCAUUCCACGGAUUCCGUGACGCAGCUAACGCAUUAAGUUCCCCGCC